GGUUCAACCGAACAAUCCGAUAAAACUGGAAUGACAUAGAGUAGAUUAACAUGGCCCCUGUGCAAGGAUGACACGCCAUAAACAGUUCUU
rnacentral:snRNA from 1 species